AAGGCAAUCAUAAGUGUUAUAGCAUCCAUUUUGUAUAUUUACUGCUUUCUUUAUAGGUACAUUCAAUGUAACUGAUUUGAGGAUUGAAGUAAAUACAAAUGCCUUCGUUUUCUUUACGUUGCAGCAGAGACAUAUUGCUGAUUCUUUUGUCCUGAGAAGCAGGAGCCACUUCUGGUGGAACAUAUCCAGCUAGUAAAUGAAAGUCAUCUGAAAUACUAUUCUUGGAAGAACUAACUUAUCUUGGAUGGGAAUUGGGUGCUAUUAGAACCUUCUAUGAUGGAAGCCUCAAUAUCUUCAAGACUAAAUGCAGGCUCAUCUGGGGAUGUACUAUCCAGGUUCUGAUUCCUGAAAAUACUACUUGUUCUCUGUUGUUGAUCAAACAUCAUCUUAAGUUGUCUGCCUUGUUCUUCAAUGCGUAAUUGUAAGUUUUUCUGAAUCUCCAACUGUUCGUGCAGACGCCUCUGGACAUCUAAUUGCAGUUGCAGUGCCUCUGUGAUUUGCAUGCCAGUUUUUGCAUUGAUCGGCGAUACAUCAUUUAUGCUAGUUCUUUUCUCAGGCUUUCCUUCUGA
rnacentral:misc_RNA from 1 species